rnacentral:lncRNA from 1 species
AGCAGGUUCUGGGGAGGAGGUUUCACUUGUCAGUUAGCGGCCAUGUGCCCCAGGCCCCAGAGUGCUCUUUACACCCCUGGUGGAAGGACAGAGCUGGCCCUCCUUGAUGGGGGGAAGCAAGGGUCUGUACCUUGGGCAGGUGCAGGAGAGCCACCUCUCCUGAACCUUGUGCUGGCCCGAGGGCUGAGGUGGAGCCCCAUGAGGACCAAGGCCACACAGAAACCAGGACCCUGAGACCGCGGUUGCCUGUGGUGCAGGACAGCCCAAGGCAGGACCAGGUUCUUCUACCCCUGCUUGUCCCUUGCCCCUCUCGCUGCUGCUGGACACCUUGCCACAGACUUCCGGUGGCUUCCGCAGCCACAUGUGCUCUUCCCACAGCUCUCUGGAAACACCUCACGUGGAGCUGGCCUAAGCCAGCCAGAGCUCCUGACUGCUGCUCAGAGGCCAUCGGAGAGAUACGGACUCCUCCUCCCGUCCUGGCAAGAGGAAUGUUCACACAGAGAUGGAAGAUGCUGGGCAGGAAAGGGGGAGCCCGGAGCUGACGGGCCUCUGCCGAAACCUGGUAUCCUGGGCCCAGACCUGGCCACUGUCAGGCUUGCAAGCCCAGAAGGUCAAAGGCUGGAAUUCCAUCCAAACCAAAGGGCACCCAGAACAGUCCAGGUGAUUGUCUUCUGCCCAGGUCACACUCGGGUCCUCGCAGGUGGUGAUCACUGGCCCUGUUUGGGGUGGUUGGAACUCAGCACUUGGUGAAGGUGGUUUUCUGUCUUCUAGAUCUCCAAGUUCCUGUUCUGGUGGCCGCACGUCACCACGAGAUUCUGCCUCCCCGAUUUUCAAGGGUCUCUGGCUAAAAUGUCAGUGUCUUUGGGAACAGUCACCCUUUCGAGUCUCCAGGGGAAUCUGGAGCAGCUGAGGGUCUGAAUCCAGCCUGAGCUAGGGACCAGGGUGCAGAUGGGGCACUGUGGGAACUCUGGUGCCUAAGUCUGCGUGACACCUGAGCCUGGCCGCCUGGCCUGGGUGAGGUCUGGCGUCGGCCUUGGCGGUGGCCCUGGCUAGCUGUGAUUCAGCUCCAAGGAACCUGCUUCCUCGUCUGCAGCGUGGAAAGAUAGCAGCGUCUACACAGUAGAAUACCUUUGAGAGGUCACAGAGAAUUCGGGCAGCAUUCCUGGUGCCCGUCCUGCUGAGAACGCCCGUCAGUCAUCUAGAGCUCAAGUUUAACACAGAAGGCAGCGGCCAGCGGAUGGAGGGGGCAGGAGGGGCCCCACAAGGAGAGCUUGGCAGUGACCUCUGUCCCUCCAGAGCCCCUCUCCUGCCGCCUUCCUACAGAGGCCAGAAACCUCUAUCCCAUCUGCAGGGCCUGGGCAUGGGGGAGAGUAUCGUGGGAGACCCACAUGCCUCUGUGGGCACCAGGACAGAACGUGGCCCGCUCCACUGACUGGGCAAAAGGUAGGCCAGGUGCCAUGGGGCACUGUGCUGAGGCUGGCGGGCAUUCCUGUCACUGUUUGCCUGAGGUGGGGGCCCAGGCAGAGGCUGGAGGCCCCAACCCCAACUGCAGAUGGGGAGAAGUCAGAGAAAAUAUGCUACCUGUCCACCUGCACCUCCCCCGCGGGUCAUCCCUCCCUGGCUGUGGGGACAGGAAUGAGUCACAGGAUGGGCCCUUGGGCCAACUCACUUCCUGUCCCCCGGCCACAGCCCGUCUGGGGGCUGCAGAGCUCCCGAGUCCUUCCAGACUCGCUCUGUCCUGUGGGGGUGGGUGGGAGAAGAACUGGAGAAUGGCAGGGACCCUGGGGGGUGGGGCUUGCAAGAUAGGGAAAGAGCAUGAGGGACCCAGAGCCCCAGGAGGAGGACAGGUGUGAGUCAGCUCCUGGAGGAGGGGGCACGUAGGCGGGGCCGGGUAUAAGCUGGGCAGCCCUUUGUCACCGUCAUCAUCAUCAAGACACACACGACGAGGUACCAAGCGGGGUGACUUGUGCUUUCUGCUUGGGAACAGCCAUGGCCCUCACUGCAGCCACUGCUAUCACCAGCGCUCACCCCGGAAAUUGGAGGCCAUGAGGGCCAGACUGCCACAAGCCACAGACUCCAAAGUCACAGCCAGCGAGCCCCCAGGGGCUCUUCCCGCGCCCUGGCCUGUCCUUGGUGUGGCCGCUAGCUGGUCCAGCUCAGCCCCUGGCCUCUCUUCCACCUUGGUGCACAAAGCCCUGGGGUGGUAAAGCAGGAGGCCAGCAGGGGCCAGAGGAAGAGGGGUGUGGCUGGCAGAGGAGGGAGCCUGGCCCGUCCGGGGCUGAGUGCCUGCUGGAGCUGUCCGGCUGGUGUUCCGGGUGACUCUGUUGUCCUCUGGGGGCCUGGGCUCCCUCAUCUGUAGCCCCCCCACCCUCCCUGCGCUACCCCCCCCCCACCGUGAGUGAUGCUACUCAGGCUGAGGAGACCCCAGGUCUGGCCCACUGUCCUUGAUGCACUCAGGCCUUCACCUGCACCCCCCCUUGGUGGCCAGCGGGCUUUGCAGGAAUGGCCUCCUUCCCGAGGGAGGGACGAGAGCCUGGCUAACCAGGCAGGGCUAUUUUAAAGGAAGUCACGGCCAACCGGAGAGCAAAGUCUCCAUCUGAGUUUAUGACAGGAUGACAGGAGGGCGGUCAGCCAUCGUCUGCUGGGCUAGAAACUUCAGGACCCUUCCAGAUCUUUCCAUAACCGCAGCUGGGGCUUCCUGAGCCUCCCUUGGUCUCGGGGUCCUACCUCAACCAAGUUCUCCAGCCGUCCAACAGCCUGGGGGCAG